CAAUCUCAGUUCGGAUUGUAGGCUGCAACUCGCCUACAUGAAGUUGGAAUCGCUAGUAAUCGCGAAUCAGAAUGUCGCGGUGAAUACGUUCCCGGGUCUUGUACACACCGCCCGUCACACCACGAGAGUUUACAACACCCGAAGUCAGUGGCCUAACCGCAAGGAGGGAGCUGCCUAAGGUGGGGUAGAUGAUUGGGGUGAAGUCGUAACAAGGUAAC
rnacentral:rRNA from 1 species